CCGCGGAAGACGAUGGCACAGGACGUAUAUAAUACACACCACUGUGCUGCAACAGGCGAGGAGUUCGGCGGCCGCCCCAUCAGCUGAUCGCCGCCCGCGCCCGGUAUUUGCCCACUCCUCGAGCGCAAGGUUGCGGCCGCGAGCCAUACGUAAUGUUGUUGUACACUUAACGUCAAGCUACUCAAGUUCAUAUCAAAAUAAUAUUACCAUAAUAAUGUCAACAUCGAAAACGGACUGUGAAAUAAUCAACAAUGUUCUAAUACGAACGGUUUAUAUUAUACUCCUAUGGUACUGAAAAAUAAAAAAAUAUUAUGCCAUCAUA